GAACCAAUGCAUUCUUGUGUUCUGUGCGUUUUUAAGGCUUCUCUCGGCCUGCAAACGCCUUAAUAGUCAAGAAAGCACCAAAACUUAGUUUGAACAAAAAAGGUUGGAAAACUAUUCACAAACCAUGAUACCAUCAUGAAAAGGAUAAAUGUACUUUCCUGAGGUGCUAGUUUUAGGAAAACACUGUUAACCAAUGCAUUCUUGUUUUGAACAAAAAAGGUUGGAAAACUAUCACAAACCAUGAUACCAUCAUGAAAAAGAUGAAUGUACCUUCCUGAGGUGCUAGAUUUAGAAAAACACUGUUAACCAAUGCAUUCUUGUGUUCUGUGCGUUUUUAAGGCUUCUCUCGGCCUGCAAACGCCUUAAUAGUCAAGAAAGCACCAAAACUUAGUUUGAACA
ensembl:lncRNA